AGGCAACCUGCCCCCCGGCCGGGGACAACACGCCGAAAGGUGUGCUAAUACCGGAUACGAAGACGGCAUCGCAUGGUGCCGUUUUGAAAGAUGGCCUCUGUUUAUAAGCUAUCGCCGGGGGAUGGGCCUGCGUCCGAUUAGCUGGUUGGUGGGGUAACGGCCCACCAAGGCGACGAUCGGUAGCCGGUCUGAGAGGAUGAACGGCCACAUUGGGACUGAGACACGGCCCAGACUCCUACGGGAGGCAGCAGUGGGGAAUCUUCCGCAAUGGGCGCAAGCCUGACGGAGCAACGCCGCGUGGGUGAGGAAGUUUUUCGGAACGUAAAGCCCUGUUGUACCCGACGAAUGUAUAUGCUAUGAACAACGGGAUAUAAUGACGGUAGGGUACGAGGAAGCCACGGCUAACUACGUGCCAGCAGCCGCGGUAAUACGUAGGUGGCAAGCGUUGUCCGGAAUUAUUGGGCGUAAAGCGCAUGUAGGCGGUGCCUUAAGUCUGUCGUGAAACUGCGGGGCUUACCCCCGUAUGGCGAUGGAAACUGUGGCACUUGGGUGCAGGAGAGGAAAGGGGAACUCCCAGUGUAGCGGUGAAAUGCGUAGAUAUUGGGAAGAACACCGGUGGCGAAGGCGCCUUUCUGGACUGUGUCUGA
rnacentral:rRNA from 1 species